rnacentral:tRNA from 1 species
GCUGAUGUAGCUCAGAGGCCGAGCACCGCUCUGGUAAGGCGGAGGUCACGGGUUCGAUUCCCGUCAUCAGCU